rnacentral:lncRNA from 1 species
GCAAAUCAAGCUCACAUAUAAACUUGGAGUACAUACCUGUUUAACCUUUCGCAUUGAAUAUAUUUAUAAGCAAUUCUUAUUACGAAGUCUUACCCGGACAUAAUCUCCACACGAAGUUAUCGGGUCUUACCCGGACAAAAUCCCCACACGUAGUCAUCGGGUCUUUAGAGCUCGAAUAUAGUACGAGCACGAAGCUUACGGACAUUAAUCAGUGAUAAUAUUCUCGCAUAAAGCCU